GAUGAACGCUGGCGGCGUGCCUAAUACAUGCAAGUCGAGCGAACAGACGAGGAGCUUACUCCUCUGACGUUAGCGGCGGACGGGUGAGUAACACGUGGAUAACCUACCUAUAAGACUGGGAUAACUUCGGGAAACCGGAGCUAAUACCGGAUAAUAUAUUGAACCGCAUGGUUCAAUAGUGAAAGACGGUUUUGCUGUCACUUAUAGAUGGAUCCGCGCCGCAUUAGCUAGUUGGUAAGGUAACGGUUUACCAAGGCAACGAUGCGUAGCCGACCUGAGAGGGUGAUCGGCCACACUGGAACUGAGACACGGUCCAGACUCCUACGGGAGGCAGCAGUAGGGAAUCUUCCGCAAUGGGCGAAAGCCUGACGGAGCAACGCCGCGUGAGUGAUGAAGGUCUUCGGAUCGUAAAACUCUGUUAUUAGGGAAGAACAAAUGUGUAAGUAACUAUGCACGUCUUGACGGUACCUAAUCAGAAAGCCACGGCUAACUACGUG
rnacentral:rRNA from 1 species